UGGGGAAUAUUGCGCAAUGGGGGGAACCCUGACGCAGCAACGCCGCGUGAAGGAUGAAGGCUUUCGGGUUGUAAACUUCUUUGAUGAGGGACGAAAGAAAUGACGGUACCUCAAAAACAAGCCACGGCUAACUACGUGCCAGCAGCCGCGGUAAUACGUAGGUGGCGAGCGUUGUCCGGAAUUACUGGGUGUAAAGGGCGUGUAGGCGGGGAUGCAAGUCAGAUGUGAAAUGCCGGGGCUUAACUCCGGAGCUGCAUCUGAAACUGUGUUUCUUGAGUGUCGGAGAGGAAAGCGGAAUUCCCAGUGUAGCGGUGAAAUGCGUAGAUAUUGGGAGGAACACCAGUGGCGAAGGCGGCUUUCUGGACGAUAACUGACGCUGAGGCGCGAAAGCGUGGGGAGCAAAACAGGAUUAGAUACCCUGGUAGUCCACGCUGUAAACGAUGGAUACUAGGUGUAGGAGGUAUCGACCCCUUCUGUGCCGGAGUUAACAACAAUAAGUAUCCCACCUGGGGGAGUACGGCCGCAAGGUUG
rnacentral:rRNA from 1 species